UCUCUCUCAUUUUCUUACGCACUUGCUCUCGCUUUCAAUCACCGUCUCUAUGUUAUGGAACGGCUCCAACGAUCAUUUUCAUAUUUCUGUUAUUGUUUUUACUUCUUCUCUUUGGAACGCUGCAUUUUAAUUCUCAUUGUUGUUCUAGUUAUACUGUGCUUUUUGUCCAAUAGAUUAGUAUUAGCUUCAACGAUUUGUUUUGCAGGAAACACUGUUUAUUAAAACAAUAUGGCUUAUGCUAUUGUUACUAUUAUUUGGUUCCUUUAUAUACCAGUAACUAAAAGAAAAACAAUUAUGAAAUUUGAAAUCAAAAUUCUUCAGUACUCUCUUCUUCUUUUCUCUCGAUCUUUUUCCUUUUCUUCUUUUUUUUCUAUUCUUUUACUGUUUCCAGAUCUGUUACGUGACAAAGGUAUCAAAGCUUUGUUGAUUCUCAUGGCCGCGGAGGAUGUGACUAUGAGGAUGCAAAAAGAAUAGGGAAUGAUGUAAGGGGAGUUGACUCAAAUGUAAGUCAAAUUCGCGCAGUUAGAUGUAAGGAUUGACGCAUGUUUGAAGGAUUUUCAGGAAUGAAUUAAGUUUGAGGUUCGUUCAAAGCAAAGGAACAUUUAGUAGUAUCUCAUAUGCCAAAUCUAGGACAUUCGAGUGUGUCUUCGUAAGGAGGGACUUUGGAAACUGUGAAUACUUCUUCUCGAGUAGACUUUCCUCACUUUGAUGGUGCAAAAUUUAGAGGGUGGUGGUCUAAGUUAGAAGAAUAUAUAUUUUGAAGCUGAAGGGGUAGCUGAACAUGCUAAAGUUCGGGAAGUUAUGUUACAUUAAGAGGGGAAGGCAUUAGAAUGGCAUCACUUUUUUGUGCACAGAUAUAGAAGUUUGCACCAGUUGACUUGGAAGGUAUAUGCUAAGGGAAAAAAGGAACGUUUUGGAUCUGAUUCUCUCCUUGAUCCCAUGGUUGAGUUGGUAACGCUUAAGCAACACGGAUCUGUUGACCAGUUCUAUGAUGGAUUUCUAAAGUUGCUGAAUCAGUUAAAUUUGCAGGAGACCUAUGCACUAAGCAUAUUUAUCAGUAUUUUGAAACCUGAGAUAGGUCAAUACCUUUGGUUGUUUAAGCCUCAAACAUUGUUGAAGGGUUAUAAUUUGGCUAGGCAGGUCGAGAAUAUUAUGUUGGGACCAAUGAGGAAGGGGUUAAUUGCUAGUAGUGAAGUUAGUUCUUCUAGACCUUUAUUUUCUGUCUCUAAAGUGCAGCAAGGAAUGGAGAGCUCAGCCUCAGCAAGGGGGACGAAAAGUAGUAAUUCAGGACAAAAAAAUCCCUCAAAGUCUUUGUCUCAAGCGGAGUUGGAGGAUAGAAGGAAGAAGGGCCUCUGUUUCUAGUGUGGCUCAAAGUACUCACCAGGUCAUAAAUGUUCCAAGUAUCAGUUUUAUCAACUUAUUAUUGAGCCAUUACGGGAACAGGGUUCUAGCGUGAAGAUUCCAACUUCUGAAGAUUCUCAAGAUUAUUCUCAGCAAUUGGAUCUAGCAGAUCAGGUUCUACAAAUUCCUACUCCUGUGUUAUUGUUACAUGCUCUCCAAGGACUGCAGGUACAUAAUACUAUGAGGUUUCCAGCUGUAAUUGGUCAAACUAAGGUGGUUGUGUUAGUGGACUCAGGCAGCACACAUAAUUUUAUAGAUUUUAAGGUGGCUAAAAGAUUGAAUUUGGCAGUGGAAUCAGGGAGUACAUUGAGAGUGAUGGUGGCAAAUGAGGUUCGAUUAUCUACUCAAGGUUUAUGCAGAUCAGUUUCUUGGAAAGCACAGGGUUAUAGUUCCACUACUGAUUUCUUAAUACUAUCAGUGAAGGGAUUUGACUUGGUGCUUGGCAUUCACUGCUUAUUAUCUCUUAGUCCUAUUGUAUGGAAUUUCUCCAAUUUGACUAUGCAGUUUAAUCAUAUGGGGCAAAGAUGCAUUCUCUAAGGCAUAGUGCCAGGUUCAUUACACAUUGUUCCUAGUAGUCAACUAUCCAAAUGUUUAAGUCUAGUAGGUAAUGGUCCCUGCCCUAUGUUAUCAACUUCUUGUGAUUAGACUGCCCUUAAGAUGCAGCUAGUUCAAUUGCCACCAGAUUUGUAAGCCCUUCUUAAUGAGUUUGAAGAUAUAUUUCAGAGUCCCAUAGGCCUACUCCUCCUCGAUUACAAGAUCACAAGAUUCCCUUGAUUAAUGAAUCUAAGGUAGUUAAGAUGCGGCCUUACAAGUACCCUGUAAUACAGAAGACUAAAAUAGAGAAACUGAUACAAGAAAUGUUGCAACAGGGAUAAUUCGCGAUAGCAAUAGCCCUUUUGCAUCUCCUGUGGUGAUGGUGAAGAAAAAAUGUGGCAGUUGGAGAUUAUGUAUUGACUACAGACAACUUAACCAACUAACCAUCAAAGACAAGUUCUCUAUACCUGUCAUUGAAGAACUUCUUGAUGAAUUGGGGUAAGCAAAAUUUUUCUCUAAAUUGGAUUUGCGUUUGGGUUAUCAUCAGAUUUUAAUGUGGGAGAAGAAUGUGUACAAAACAACUUUUAAAACUCGUUUUGGCCAUUAUGAGUUUUUGGUCAUGCCAUUUGGCUUGACCAAUGCUCCUACCUUCCAAUCAUUGAUGAAUUCAGUUUUUAGAUCAUUAUUGAGGAGAUCGGUUCUUGUUUUUUUUAAUGAUAUAUUCGUGUACUCCCAAAAAUGGACUGAUCAUUUGAUUCAUUUGCAAGAGAUGCUACAAGUAUUGUGGUCUAAUCAGCUUUCUGAUAAGAGAUCUAAGUGUAUUUUUGGAACUACUCAAGUAGAGUAUCUUAGGCAUGUUAUUUUUCAAGGGUUGUCAGUAUGGAUCAAACUAUGGUGGCAGGUGUUUUUGAUUGGUCUCCUCCGAAGUCUGUCAAGGAAUUGUGAGGCUUCUUUGGAUUGUCCAGAUACUACAGAUGAUUUAUUAAGGGGUAUAGAUUACUGGCUAAGACCCUCACCAUCUUAUUAAUAAAAGAUGUUGUCUGGUAAUGGACAGUGUUGGAAUAGACAUCGUUUGAUCAGCUUAAAGAAGCUAUUUGUUAGGCUCCAGUUUUAGCCUUGCCAAAUUUUCAGGAGACUUUUUGUGUUGAAAUAGAUGCUAGUGGCCAAAGGGUCGGGGCAGUUCUGCAGCAGAAAGGGAGGCUAGUGGCGUAUUUCAGCAAAGCCUUGGGAGUCAAGUAUCAAGAUUUGUCCAUCUAUGACAAAGAAAUGCUAGCAGUGCUUUUAGCAGUCAAGAAAUGGCAUCCUUAUCUUGUGGGAAGGCAUUUCGUAAUCAAAACCGAUCACCAAAGCUUGAAAUUUUUAUCCGAGCAACAAGAAAUUACACCUUACCAACAGAAGUGGGUUGCUAAUAUGCUGGGGUAUGAUUAUUCGAUUUCAUAUCGAAAGGGGGCUCAGAAUACAGUCGCAGAUGCUUUGUCCAAGAAACCUCAUGAACACAAACACCAAUUCUUCCAAUGUGAAAGGAGUCUUGAUUCUUCUUGGUCAGAGGUAUGCGAUCACAUUGUUGCUUCAUAUGAGACAGAUGAGAAGCUACACUAGUUGUAUCAGGAUGUUCAAAUGCAACCACAGUUGCAUCCCAAGUAUUAUUGGCACGAUACAUUCCUUCGCAGACUGGGGAAGAUCGUGGUGGGGAAUGAUGUUCAGCUUCUAAGAUACAUAUUUGGUCUUUUUCAUGAUAGUUCCUUAGGGGGUCAUUCCAGCAUCCAUGCUACUCGGCAUAGGAUCUCUGCAUUGUUAUAUUGGAAGGGUCUUUCUAAAUAUGUUAAGCGAUGGUCUUGUGAGUAUGUUGUUUGCCAACGAUGCAAAACUGAUAAUUCUGCUUCACCAGGGCUUUUGUGACCUCUACCUAUACCGGAUCGAGUUUGGACUGCAUUCUUGUAGUGAUUAAUCGACUGACCAAGUAUGGUCACUUCAUUUCUUUAGCCUAUCCUUUCACUGCCUUAACAGUAGCUCAGGAGUAUCUUAGUCAAAUUUAUAAGCUUCAUGGGAUACUUGAAUCUAUUGUGUCAGAUAGAGAUCAAAAUUUUUUAAGCAAUUUUUGGCAGGAGCUGUUUCAGCACUUGGGCGCUAAACUGAAAAUGUCCACUGCCUACCAUCCCAAACUGAUGGUCAGACAGAAAUACUUAACAAAUGUUUAGAGAGUUAUUUGCGGUGCAUGACUAGUGAAAAGCCCUUUGCUUGGACGUCUUGGCUACCUUUGGUGGAGUGGUGGUAUAACACCACUUACCAUUCUGCCAUUUAGACCACCCGUUAUGAAGCUCUCUAUGGGCAAGAUCCACCUAUUCAUCUCCCUUACCUGGAUGGUGCUUCUCAAGUGGCUACAGUAGACUGCAUUUUGCAACACCUAGAAGUCAUGCGCAAAGUUUUAAAAUUUGAUCUCACUUGAGCUCAGGACCGAAUGAAACAAAUGGCUAAAAAAAUGCAAUUGGAACGAGAAUUUAAGGUGGGAGAUUUGGUAUAUUUGAAGUUACAACCAUAUCGACAACACUUUUUGCGCAAGUUCAAGAACUAGAAAUUGUCACCCAGGUAUUUUGGUCCUUUUCUAGUGGAGGCUCAUGUAAGACAGGUUGCUUACAAGCUGUUACUACUAUCUUCUGCUAGCAUCCAUUCUACCUUCCAUGUUUCUCAAUUGAGGAAACAUAUUGGCUUUGCGGUGAGUGCUUCUAAUUUGCCACUAGUGGGGUCUGAUGGGGCUCUUCUCAAGACGCCGAUUCGAGUAUUGGAUAAAUGACUAGUCAAGCAAGGUAACCAUGCUGCUGUGGAGGUUCUCGUCGAGUGGGCUGACACAUUUCCUGAGGAUUCAACUUGGGAGAAUUUGCAUGAUCUUCAAUGUCGAUUUCCUGCUUUUGAUCGUUGAGGGCAAGGAUCCUGUUUCAGGAGAGGGGUAUUUGUUAUGGAACAACUCCAAUGGCCAUUUCAUAUUUCUGUUAUUUUUGUUACUUCUUCUCUUUGGAACGCUGCGUUUUAAUUCUCGUUGUUGUUUUAGUUAUACGAUGUGUUUUGACCAAUAGAUUAGCAUUAGCUUAAACGAUUCAUUUUGCAGGAAACACUGUUUAUUGAAACAGUGUGGUUUAGGCUAUUGUUACUGUUAUUUUUUAGUCCGUUAUUUGGUUCCCUUAUGUACUAGUAACUAAAAGAAAAACAGUUAUGAAAUUUGAAAUCAGAAUUCUUCAGUA